rnacentral:lncRNA from 1 species
GGGUUAGUUGCGGUGGUGAAGGCACGACGGUGACGGUGACAUCACCGUCGCUCUGUUCCUCCGUCUUCUCCGGCGACAUCACAGUUGCUCCGCUCCUCCGUCUUCUCCAGCGACAUCACAUACCGAAGGUCCUCCGUCUUCUCCAGCGACAUCACAUACCGAAGGUCCUCAAUUCAACGUUGAGCGGUUGUGGAUGGGGUGGUGAGUUUAUGGUGGUGGUUGCUGAUUUGGGUGAGCUGUUUUUAAAUCUCCUGCAUCUUUGGGUUCGAGGACUGCUCUUAGCAGAACAAGAUUUGGGCUUAGGCGAUGAACAAUUUGAUGUGACCCCAUCCCGAUUCGCCUAAUUUAAGGCCAGCGCAGGAGAUUGGUGAGCCGACUCCUUCAAAUUAGCUUCCAAAUUAACCUGAGACAAAUUUCGAGGUGACGGAUUCGCAGCAGAUUUGAGCCGCAAAUCACCCAUAAGAGGUUCGAUUGGAGCUAAUACUUCAUUCUGUGAUAUCAAAUUAGGAGAUUGACCAUUUG